rnacentral:rRNA from 1 species
UACAGAGGGGGCGAGCGUUGUUCGGAAUUACUGGGCGUAAAGGGCGCGUAGGCGGCCUCUUAAGUCGAACGUGAAAUCCCCGGGCUCAACCCGGGAACUGCGUCCGAUACUGGGAGGCUUGAAUCCGGGAGAGGGAUGUGGAAUUCCAGGUGUAGCGGUGAAAUGCGUAGAUAUCUGGAGGAACACCGGUGGCGAAGGCGGCAUCCUGGACCGGUAUUGACGCUGAGGCGCGAAAGCCAGGGGAGCAAACGGG